GGUGGCUCAUUGGUAGAGUGCUUGUCUUGCAUGCAUGAGACCCUGGGUUCAAUUCCUCAGCACCA
rfam:Dipodomys ordii contig_42607, whole genome shotgun sequence.